CAGACCAAGCUUCUGUGGGAGGAUCCCAGCAAAGUGGGCUGGAGCUACAACACCGCCUACCGCUGGGAGCUGAAGCACCGGGUGGACAUCGGAAUCAUCAGGUUCCGGCUGUACUCCGGCAGUCUCCUUGUGGUGGACUCCGGUGACGUUCUGGACGCCUCUCUCCGCGGAGGCCGCCUGGGGGUGUACUGUUACUCCCAGGAGAACGUCAUCUGGUCUGACCUCGUCGUCAAAUGCGAUGGAAACAGUGCAUCAGCCUGAUGUCCUAACGGGAUAACGGAAAACGCUGUGACUUCCAUCAGCUUUCUCCAUUUUUAUGGAAAUAUAUGUAGC